rnacentral:misc_RNA from 1 species
GCAAACUUGGUCAUUUAGAGGAAGUAAAAGUCGUAACAAGGUUUCCGUAGGUGAACCUGCGGAAGGAUCAUUCACAAUAAGAGUGUUUAUGGCACUCUUCAAAAAUCCAUACCCACCUUGUGUGCAACGUAAGAAGAAAAGAAACGCGGGUCAGGUCUUGGGGAAACCCAAGGCUACUUGCAUUCUUUUCUUUUCCAACUACACCUUUCUAUAUUCCUAUUGUUCUGAAGCUGUUAGAGAAUAUACUAAUUCUUAAACAUAACUUUCAACAACGGAUCUCUUGGCUCUCGCAUCGAUGAAGAACGCAGC